rnacentral:ncRNA from 1 species
CAACCUGAGAGUUUGAUCCUGGCUCAGAGCGAACGCUGGCGGCAGGCCUAACACAUGCAAGUCGAACGGAUCCUUCGGGAUUAGUGGCGGACGGGUGAGUAACACGUGGGAACGUGCCCUUUGGUUCGGAACAACUCAGGGAAACUUGAGCUAAUACCGGAUGUGCCCUUCGGGGGAAAGAUUUAUCGCCAUUGGAGCGGCCCGCGUCUGAUUAGCUAGUUGGUGAGGUAAAGGCUCACCAAGGCUACGAUCAGUAGCUGGUCUGAGAGGAUGAUCAGCCACAUUGGGACUGAGACACGGCCCAGACUCCUACGGGAGGCAGCAGUAGGGAAUCUUGCGCAAUGGGCGAAAGCCUGACGCAGCCAUGCCGCGUGAAUGAUGAAGGUCUUAGGAUUGUAAAAUUCUUUCACCGGGGACGAUAAUGACGGUACCCGGAGAAGAAGCCCCGGCUAACUUCGUGCCAGCAGCCGCGGUAAUACGAAGGGGGCUAGCGUUGCUCGGAAUUACUGGGCGUAAAGGGAGCGUAGGCGGACUGUUAAGUUAGAGGUGAAAGCCCAGGGCUCAACCUUGGAAUUGCCUUUGAUACUGGCAGUCUUGAGUACGGAAGAGGUAUGUGGAACUCCGAGUGUAGAGGUGAAAUUCGUAGAUAUUCGGAAGAACACCAGUGGCGAAGGCGACAUACUGGUCCGUUACUGACGCUGAGGCUCGAAAGCGUGGGGAGCAAACAGGAUUAGAUACCCUGGUAGUCCACGCCGUAAACGAUGAGUGCUAGUUGUCGGCAUGCAUGCAUGUCGGUGACG